rnacentral:pre_miRNA from 1 species
ACAACAUUCUGACCGUCGGUCUACCGAGCAAUAUCAAUAUCGCUUGGUGGAAGAUCUUCCCUUUGUCGU